AAGCUCAGCGAAUGCCUCUGGGUCGUCAGCAAGACCCAAUGGGUCGAAGCUGCCACCUGGGUACAAGGGGUCGGUUACCUCACCGAGAGGCCCGCCAGCAAUACGGUAACCCUCAACAGCUCCCAUCAAGAUAACUUGGCAAGCCCAGAUGGCCAAGAUGCUUUGAGCGUGUAUCAAGCUUGGGUUUCCCAAGUAGUCAAGCCCACCUUCGCUGAAGAUCUGAGAUCCGGCCUUGAACCACACGGCCUCACCGAAUUUGACUCCAUUCCUAGCCAAAAGCUCAGGGAAAACACACCCAAGAGCACCCAACAUAGCCCACCUACAGUGGAUGACUUCGAGCUCACGGUUCCUGGCAAAUGUCUCUGGGUCAGCCGAGAGUCCAGCAGUGUCCCAACCGUAGUCACCAGGGAAUUCUCCGGUCAAGUAAGAUGGAGGCUCACCAGAUAGUGGACCCAAGUACAAAACUCGGUCAGGACCGUACCAUGGACUUCCGGAGGGAGCAGCCUUGGUAGCGGUUUUCCUCAUGGAAACACGGCCAUUGCCUUGGAUUUUAGGGGCGGAAGGAGAGAGCUUGACGGCCUUUCCGGCGAAAGAUGGGGAAGAGAGAGCCAUGGUUGCAGCUGCCAUUCUGAAGGGGAAAGAUGAUCUCGUGUGAUGGGAGUUCGUGGUAUAAGUUUUGAGAGUGAUGGAAAGGAGGCAAUGCGCAGGGAUUAUAUAGGGAGCUGUGGGCGAGGUUCCUCAAUCCUUAUCUAGGCCAGUAUCUAUAUCUCUCAUUUCAUUGGGGGCUCAAGAUUUCGAUAUUUUCUUUGGAUUUUCCACUUGGCACUCUUUCCAUCCACAAAAACACUAAACGGGCAGUAGCCGAUGCCAGUAUCUAUCUUUUUUUUUUUAAUUCUCAUUUUGUCUUUGAAAUUUGAAUGCACAGUUGGAGAUUUUGACACUCAUUAUAAUUAAAUAUUGACAACCACAAAUUAUUAGGACAAUAAACGAGUUUUGAAAGAGAGAAACUUGUUGAGCCCAUAUGCAGUAGAGUUGUUCUUCAAGUUAUGAUGUUGAAAUGGUGGCAGCAAAAUACAAGUUACUGAGUUUGAGUGGCUGUUAAGAUAUGCAUGUAAAAUAUCUACAUAGGGAAAAAUAUCUUGCGUUGCAACAGUAGCACCAUGAAAAAUACUUGAAAUAGAUAAAAUCUGUACAAACUUUAUUAACCAAAUUCACCCCCCUCCCCAAUAGGCUAAAUUUAGUAUAUAUUUUGCUCCUCCUCUGUGUUAAGUAUGGAGACAGAGUUCCUUCUGUCAAGCAGGAACAGAUAAACAAUUUACGGUUGAUAAGAAGCUAAUCAGCCAUUUAAAAAGCUUCCAAAUCUUAGUUUUGAUCAUUGUUAUUUCUUUUUCUAAUUUUGUGUUGUUUUUAUAGUUGAAGUUUUCGACAUAUAGUUGAAGCAUUAAAGGUAUUCUGUAAAAUAAAGGCAACAUUAUAUAGACUGUGAAAUGGAAAUAUAUGUUUCUAAAUGCAGACUGUUAGUAUUAUUAAUGUAAUAACGAGCUUAGCCUCGGAACAAUUUUCUCAGGAAAAAGUUAGGAUUUUUCCUAUUUUGGUACAACUCAAAAGCGUUAUCUUAUGACUAUCAAUGUCUGAAUUCCUAUUGGUUUGUAACAUUAGGGAUGUCUGAUUUUGCAAUGUCUAGUUGGAAUAAUUUUGGUGAAGCUGAUCUAUCGAAAAUCUGAAGCAAUUUUUGAAGUGCUAUUUGUUGCUCCAAUGAGAUAAUGCCACUUGUUAUGGUCGGAUAUAUAUUCCCCAAUACCAUAUCUGCUUGGAACAAACAUUAUUUUAUUUGUUGACACAAACAGAAUCAUGGAUUUAAAAAGAAAAAGGAACUUAAGGGUAAAAAAGAAUUAAUUAAGUUUUUUCAUGAGCAUUCAAAAUUUUAAAUUGUAUUAAUUAAGCCUUUUUACUAAUAUUCUUUUUGUUUUUAACCAUUACUGUUAAUGAUAAUAAUUUCUAACAUGUUAUUGUCACGUCAGUAAAAAAUUAAAAAAUUUCAAAAAAAUUAUUUGCACUUUUUAUAUCUGGAAUAAAUUUGGAAAAAUAAAUAAUUAUUUGUGUAGAUUCAUCUUGGAUUUAAUCUUUUAAAAAAAUUUUAAAUUUUAAAAUUAAUAAAAAUGCUUAAUAAAAUUCAAAAUAGAAAAUUAUUUAAAUGUUUAAGUCCAAAAUUAUAUAAAGUUUUAAAAAUAUUAAAUUUUCUUAAAAAUAUAAAAAUGUGUAUCAAUGUUUUAAUUUUACUCUAACUUUUAGACUAUUAAAAAAAAUAAAAAGAAUAGAACAUAAAUAUAUAUAAUUUUUUUGAAAUAAAAUUGACUGGGUUUUUUAUUUGAAAAGAAAAAAUAAGUGAGGCCCAACAAAUCAUUGGACUCAGGCCUACUACAUCAAAAAAAACUAGAACAAAGAUCCGGCCUCACUAUAAAUCUAAUAGUGAAAACCUCCUUAAAAAAAACAUUAAAGAAAAACAAACUUGAUGAGAACGAAAAGCAAUAAAUGAGACUGAAAAAAACAUGAAACCUAAUUUUCUACCCCAGUAAACUCAAACGGUUGGAAUCCAUUAAUAUGCUCGACUUUUCAUUUCAAAAUCCCAUCCGUUCUGAUGAUAGCGAUUUCCAAUGAACUAAACUUUAUUUGCUAUCUAGUUUUUGAAAUUCAUAUUUCUCAAAAAGCUCCUUUAGUCUGGGCAUCUUGACCAUCACCCCUCCGAAACGAAAGUUUGACUGUUCAGUCCUUCUCCCAUCAGGUACAAAAUCUUUCCUCUUUCAAGCAUGUUCUUUGCGAUUCUAUGUGCUUGCAAGUUUCCUUCUCUGUGAAUAUGUUGAAAGUUAACUUCUUGAAAACAAGGUUUCAUAUUCUGGAUGUCUCUGAUAAUCGUUCCGAUUACUGAUUUGUCUGUUGAUGUCGUUUGGCACUUUUUUAUUAUUGUUUUGGAAUUCCCCAUGACUUUAACGGAUUGCAUGCCCAUUAGAUCCCUAACUUUAUGGCUUUUAAACAUGCAUAUACUUCUGUUGCAAACGGGAAGGAGACGUUGUUGUGGAGGGUCAACUUUGAGACCAGAAGUUCACCCCUCAGGCUCUAAACCACCAGACCUGUCGCUGCUUGAAGUUGCUAUUAUCAAAAGCUGUAUCAAACUGAAUCGUUAUUCUCGGUAUGUCUUCUUGAUUUUUGUGUCUUUUAUUCGUAUUUAAAGGAAUCUUCAUUGCUCUCACUACUUCAUGUUCCUCCAUAUACCUCUGUAUUCUUUGUGUAAGAUAUCUUCUUAUUGUGUUUUUUCUUUCAUGAAUAAACUGGUUCCUGGAAAACCAGAUUAACCACAAAGCAUAACAGAAAAGUCGACAUUGUUCGUCGGUGCCUCUCCUAAAAACCCAAGUUAGCCAUUCUCAGAUAUUUUGAUUCAUAUUAUUUAUGACCCAGGAAAGAUGUAAAAUCUGCCCAACUUCUGUUGAUAUAGGGCAUUGAUGAAAGAUGUGAGGACUGUUUUCGACCCAGGAACAGCAAUGGGGGCAUCUGUCGUUUUAGUGAUUCUUUUGUAUAUGAGAUUAGCUAGAUUAGGAAUGAAAUCCCAGGAAAUUUGCCAAACAGUAAUUGUAAUUUUUGAAGGUAGCUAUAGGUUCCAUAGUUUCCUGUAAAAUUCUUUGAUUUUGGCUUGUAUUAAAUUAUUACUAGGAUCCGUAGUAGUAUCUUGUAAUAGUUUAUAGGCACUGCGUACUGAAAAUUCGCCGGACGGUUCUCCUUUCCAAACUUGAAUAUCUUCGUGGCUUGUCUCUGUAAGAGGGAUCCUUAUGAUUUUCUGAGCAAUAUCCGCUUGAAAGGCAUUAUUAAUCAAAUCUGACCUCUAUUUUUUGUUUGUAGUAUCAAUAAGAUAUGAGACUAAUUUUAGCUCCUCAUUGUUUGAUCUGUUUUGCCCUUCAAUUUUCUCGAUCCCCUGAAUCCAACUAUCAUUUUAGAUUGAAACCUUAUCCACCCUACCCACUCUCCAACACAACCCAUUUUGAAGAAGGCCCUUUGCUGCCCAAAUACUCUUCCAGUUGAGUGAAGGAAAAUUUCCUAACUCUGCG
rnacentral:lncRNA from 1 species